UACGUAGGUGGUAAGCGUUAUCCGGAUUUAUUGGGCGUAAAGAGAACGCAGGCGGUCUUUUAAGUCUGAUGUGAAAGCCUUCGGCUUAACCGGAGUAGUGCAUUGGAAACUGGGAGACCUGAGUGCAGAAGAGGAGAGUGGAACUCCAUGUGUAGCGGUGAAAUGCGUAGAUAUAUGGAAGAACACCAGUGGCGAAAGCGGCUCUCUGGUCUGUAACUGACGCUGAGGUUCGAAAGCGUGGGGAGCAAACAGG
rnacentral:rRNA from 1 species